GGGUUGUGAGGUUAAGCGACUAAGCGUACACGGUGGAUGCCCUGGCAGUCAGAGGCGAUGAAGGACGUGCUAAUCUGCGAUAAGCGUCGGUAAGGUGAUAUGAACCGUUAUAACCGGCGAUUUCCGAAUGGGGAAACCCAGUGUGUUUCGACACACUAUCAUUAACUGAAUCCAUAGGUUAAUGAGGCGAACCGGGGGAACUGAAACAUCUAAGUACCCCGAGGAAAAGAAAUCAACCGAGAUUCCCCCAGUAGCGGCGAGCGAACGGGGAGCAGCCCAGAGCCUGAAUCAGUGUGUGUGUUAGUGGAAGCGUCUGGAAAGGCGCGCGAUACAGGGUGACAGCCCCGUACACAAAAAUGC
rnacentral:rRNA from 1 species